CACUGUGCUUCAUGGUGUGGGAAGACUCGGCUUUGUGAAGUGAAAGAAAGCGUUAUAAUUUUAGAAACAUUCUUUGAGAAAAUAAUACAAUUUUAGGAUAGAAUACUGCAACAAAGAGACACAACAGUGCCUAAGAAACAUUUAAAUAUAUCCACUAAACCCUACAACAUGUAUCCCCAAGCUAACUUUCCUUCAGCUAGAUCCCAUAAUGUCUAAGGCCACUUCAAAGCUCUCUGACAGGAGGGAGAUUGUGAUGGAAGGAAAGUCGGAGAGCAAAGACAGAGGUCUUAACUGAUCGUGGUUAAAAUACCAUAAAUUUGCAAAUGUAACAAAACAUGUGCCCUUGUGAACACGUUGUUAGGGCUCCUUCUCAGGCCUUGCCAAGUUAGGGGCCUUGAAACUCAAGCUUCAUUAACUUUGAGAGAAAUCCUCCUCUGGCCAGCCCCACCCCUCCUACCAUUUUUCUGCAGAUUAAAUCCGACUAAACUUAAAGGCAGCCAGUGGGAUGAGUAGAAGGCAGAAAUUAUAGAAAGAUCACAGUGGGGACUCAUAUUCCUCUUGCAAAUAUCAAGCCCUCAGACUGGGAGAUGAUGAAGGACAUGUUAGGUCUCCGGGAAGAUACAUAAAGGAGUCUUUGGGCUGACAGGCCUCCAGAGAGGUUGAUGUCAUCACAGCCACAAAGAAUGAUUUCCUACAGCAAUAGUGGAUCUGUGACGGCAUCGGGAUUACAAAAGCUGUUCUGGAGGCCACAGGUCCCAAAUCAAGGUGUCAGGAAAUCACACCUGAACUAUGCAAACUGGGCGGGGCAGCUGCUGCCAAGAAGAGCGAUACUGUCAUCAGAAGGAGGCGGACCCACGCGGCUGAGCAGGCUCAUGGUGCAGAGGAAGGUGGGGAGUUCGAUCUGGAUGUGCCGAGUUGUGACACAGCAGGUGAGACACCUGAGAGUGAUGUCCCCUGUCCGUUAAAUGUGGCAGUAGGUGUAUCAUUUUUAAUUUUAGCAAGAAUACUUUCAGUGGAGCGUGGAGCAAGGGGACUGCUGAAGGGAGGUGACGAAUGGAUGGGAACUGAGCAAAAUCGAAGCGGGGCUGGUCAGAAGCCAGAGAACUAGGGUCUCACCAUGAUGACAGUGUUGCUGAGGCAACCUUUCAGGAGGCAAUGCCCUAAAGCAGUAGUUCUCAAAGGCUGUUACCCAGAUCAGCAGCAUCAGGCAGCUGGGAAUUUACUAGAAAAGCAAAUUUUGAGGACCCCCCCAAGACCUACUGAAUCAAAACCUCUAGGGUGGAGCCCUAAAAUCUGUGUUUAACAAGCCCGCAGGUGACCCUGAUGUGGGCACUCCGGCCUCCGGAGCCUGGAGGAACCAACUUUGACAGAACUACUGGUGCCGUGUGUUCAAGGAGGCGCACGUGUGUGGUAGUAACAUGUUUACUCCAGCUGGGCUUGCUUGGAAGCAGGGAGUCUGGUUUGGGGUGGGGGUACAUGGGGGUGCGGGGUCUAAGGGCAUGAAUUUUUGGAAAGCAAGGCAGUGAGGAAAAGGACAGGUUCCUUCCCAGGGCAAGGUCCCUGCAGCUGGAGUGUGAAAUACACCUGUUCUGAUCUUUCAAGCAGAUCAGCAGCUUGACAUCCUCCCACUCCAGAGCCAGCAGCUUUCUUGAAGAGGAUGGGGCUAGUGUUGGGCUGAAGCUGUCACAGAGUGGCAUUUCUCACAAUAUUUGAAGAGCCCCUGGGAAAUGUUAACCAGAAACUCGGUUGGCUCUUUGACUUCAGUCUUUAUGGUUGAAAACCUUUCUAAAAUGGAUCUGUCUUUUUGCCACUUUAGAGACUAGAAUAACAUCUAAAGUAGCAGAGUUGUGAAAGAUUUAUUAUCUUUUACAAUGCAGAGUGGGUUUAAGAUGAGUGCUCUGAUAUUAUCACUCUUACCCUCUUGCAUUUCUGAUUUGUUUCUGAGAGAUUGGGGUGGAUGGAGUUCCUGGUGACUGCUGGGAUUUGCAUGUGCCCCCCACCCAACAGUGCCUAUGACACACUCUGCUAUAUGUGUCUGCCUCUGAUGUCCCCUGAACAGCUGUGCAUGAAAGUCAUCUGUCCAGUGGGCAGAUAACAGGAAGUAUGGCACAGUGUGAAUGCCACGAGGGCAGGGCUGGUUAGUUCAUGGUUUGACCUUUAAAUCCUGGAAUUAUAACAGUACCCAAUAAGCAUGUUGAAUGCAUGAAAGAACAUGGUUAUUGUAAUUGGAUUGGGGAUCAUUUUGGAAUCUAUAGGUCUUAGGGUUGCCAUUCUGAGCAUUAGUCCUCACUAUCUGGGACCAUAAAUAUAACAUGUAUAGACAGGACUGGCUACAUAAUUUGUGUGGAUCAGUGCAAAAUGAAAAUUUAGAGCCCCUUAUUCAAAAAUUAUUAAGAACCUCAAGACAGGGACAGCAGAACAUUAAAGCAAAUAUGGGGUCCUUCUGAAUGUGGGCCCCCAUGCUCCUGCCUGAGUCCCAUGAAGUCAGACCUAAAGGUAGGAGAUGGAAUGAAAUUUUACUAGUCCUGGUAACUUCUGGAAAUAGCUUUCAGAAAAUUUUUGCAGAAAUCCUUGAAAUGACCUUUUUAUGUGGUUUUCUCUUUUUUUUCAUGAAAGAAGAGGGCAAUUUAAAGAUGGAGGGUGUCUGGAGGUGCCUGGAUGGCUCAGUCGGUUAAUUGUCUGACUUCAGCUCAGGUCACGAUCUCGUGG